UACGUAGGGGGCAAGCGUUGUCCGGAUUUACUGGGCGUAAAGAGCGUGUAGGCGGCCAAGCAGGUCCGUUGUGAAAACUGGAGGCUUAACCUCCAGACGUCGACGGAAACCGCGUGGCUAGAGUCCGGAAGAGGAGAGUGGAAUUCCUGGUGUAGCGGUGAAAUGCGCAGAUAUCAGGAAGAACACCAAUGGCGAAGGCAGCUCUCUGGGACGGUACUGACGCUGAGACGCGAAAGCGUGGGUAGCAAACAGG
rnacentral:rRNA from 1 species